GGGGAGGGGGGGUAGAAUUUUCCAGGAGCACGCGAUGAAAUAGCUCAGAGAUUCGGAGGAAUACCCGGUGGCGAAGGCGGCCCCCCUGGACGAAGACUGACGAUCAGGUUUUGAAAGCGUGGGGAGCAAGCAGGAUUAGAUACCCUGGUAGUCCACGCCGUAAGCGAUGUCGACUUGGACGUUGUGCCCUUGAGGCGUGGCUUCAGGAGAUAACGCGUUAAGUCGACCGCCUGGGGAGUACGGCCGCAAGGUUAAAACUCAAAUGAAUUGACGGGGGCCCGCACAAGCGGUGGAGCAUGUGGUUUAAUUCGAUGCAACGCGAAGAACCUUACCUGGUCUUGACAUCCACAGAACCUUGUAGAGAUACGAGGGUGCCUUCGGGAACUGUGAGACAGGUGCUGCAUGGCUGUCGUCAGCUCGUGUUGUGAAAUGUUGGGUUAAGUCCCGCAACGAGCGCAACCCUUAUCCUUUGUUGCCAGCGGUCCGGCCGGGAACUCAAAGGAGACUGCCAGUGAUAAACUGGAGGAAGGUGGGGAUGACGUCAAGUCAUCAUGGCCCUUACGACCAGGGCUACACACGUGCUACAAUGGCGCAUACAAAGAGAAGCGACCUCGCGAGAGCAAGCGGACCUCAUAAAGUGCGUCGUAGUCCGGAUUGGAGUCUGCAACUCGACUCCAUGAAGUCGGAAUCGCUAGUAAUCGUGGAUCAGAAUGCCACGGUGAAUACGUUCCCGGGCCUUGUACACACCGCCCGUCACACCAUGGGAGUGGGUUGCUAAAAGAAGUACGGUAGCUUAACUAUUGUGGGAGGGCAGGUUACCAUAGAGUAGUCCGUUUUGGC
rnacentral:rRNA from 1 species